GAUGAAGAACGUAGCGAAAUGCGAUAAGUAAUGUGAAUUGCAGAAUUCAGUGAAUCAUCGAAUCUUUGAACUCACAUUGCGCCCCCUGGUAUUCCGGGGGGCAUGCCUGUUCGAGCGUCAUUACAACCCUCAAGCUCUGCUUGGUGUUGGGCCCCGCCGCCCCGGCGGGCCCUAAAAUCAGUGGCGGUGCCGUCCGGCUCCGAGCGUAGUAAUUCUUCUCGCUCUGGAGGUCCGGGUGUGUGCUCGCCAGCAACCCCCAAUUUUUUUCAGGUUGACCUCGGAUCAGGUAGGGAUACCCGCUGAACUUAAGCAUAUCAAUAAGCGGAGGA
rnacentral:misc_RNA from 1 species